UACGUAGGGGGCAAGCGUUGUCCGGAAUCAUUGGGCGUAAAGAGCGUGUAGGCGGCCCGGUAAGUCCGCUGUGAAAGUCCAGGGCUCAACCCUGGGAUGCCGGUGGAUACUGUCGGGCUCGAGUCCGGAAGGAGGAGUGUGGAAUUCCGUGGUGUAGCGGUGAAAUGCGCAGAUAUCGAGGAGGAACACCAAUGGCGAAGGCAGCACUCUGGGACGUGACUGACGCUGAGACGCGAAA
rnacentral:rRNA from 1 species